UGGGGAAUUGUUCACAAUGGGCGCAAGCCUGAUGACGCAACGCCGCGUGGGGGAUGAAGGUCUUCGGAUCGUAAACCCCUGUCGAAUGGGACGAAAGACUCGCGAGUGAAUACUUCGCGAGAGUGACGGUACCGUUAAAGGAAGCCACGGCUAACUCUGUGCCAGCAGCCGCGGUAAUACAGAGGUGGCAAGCGUUGUUCGGAAUUACUGGGCGUAAAGCGCGCGUAGGUGGUUAGUUAAGUUGGAUGUGAAAUCCCCGGGCUCAACCUGGGAACUGCAUUCAAAACUGACUGACUAGAGUAUGGUAGAGGGUGGUGGAAUUUCCUGUGUAGCGGUGAAAUGCGUAGAUAUAGGAAGGAACACCAGUGGCGAAGGCGACCACCGGGACUGAUACUGACACUGAGGUGCGAAAGCGUGGGGAGCAAACAGGAUUAGAUACCCAAGUAGUCCCUGAGCGGGCUGGCAAGGCGCAU
rnacentral:rRNA from 1 species